rnacentral:lncRNA from 1 species
CAGCAAACUUCAAGAAAAUAUGGAGCAAUGAUCCAAAAAAGGAUCAGAAAAUUAAACAUUGAAAUAAUGAAAUCAAACAAAAAUAUUGCAGAUAAUUAAACUGAGUAAAAUAAAAUGCUACAGAAAGUGGCAAUAGCAGAAUUGAUCAAGUAGAAGAAAUAAUCUGUGAAUUUGAAGGCAGGUUGUUGCAUGUAGAGGAGAAAAAUGAAAAAGAAUGAAGAUUAUGGGUUUUCUAUUACAGUAUCAAAAGCAAAUACUUCAGGUCUGGGGAUUUAGCUCAGUGGUUCCACUGCCUGCCUCACAAGCGCAAGGUCCUGAGUUCAAUCCCCAGUACCAAAAAAAAAAAAAAAACAAAUACUUCAGUCACUAGGGUUCAAGACAAAAAAGAUAAAACAGGAUAGAAGCUUAUUUAAGGAAACAACAAACUUUAAAACUGGAGAAAGAUAUUCAGGCACAGGAAGUUCAGUGUCUCCAAUCAUACUCAAUGCAAAUGCAACUAUCACAUAAAGGAUGGGAAGCAGAAACGAAGCAGAGGGUCCUGAAAGCAGGAAGAAGAGAGAAGAACAACAACCACCACCACAGACUUCUAAGCAGAAACCCUACAGGCUGGAUGACCGCAGGAUAAUACGCUCAGAGUGCUGCAGAAAAAGCACCAACAUGAGCCCAUGACGCGUACGAGAGCCAACAGCUGGCGCAUGCACAGAUUCCAGCCAGAGGCAGUAAGGGUGAGAAGCAAAGGAGACCUUUCAUGCCCAGAAGAAUCCAGUACUUUCCCAUUGCCUGACCCCAAAGAAGUGGAAAUAAACAACCUACCUGAGAAUUCAAAAUAAAUGUUUUAAAGCACCUCAGCACACUCCAAGAAAGCACAAGAAACAAUGCACUGAGCUCAAGAAAACAAUAACUAAAAAGGGAAAUUUAACUGAGUUAGAAUUCAAUUUUUUUAAUUUAAAGCUUAAAAAUCCACCAACAGAAUUGAUCAAGCAGAGAAAAAAAGGAUAUCUGGGAUGCUGAUACUAGGUUAUUUGAAAAUAUACAGUCAGAGGAGAAAAAAGAAAAAUACUGUCAUAUACAGGGCUUAAGAGACAGCAGCAAGAGAACAGGCGUUCACAUUAUGAGAGAAGAAACAGACCGAGACUGCCUAUUUAAAGAAAUAAUAAGCCACCUUUUUUAAUCUGGAGAAAAUAUCUAAAUAUCCAGGUGUGAGAAGCUCACUAAUAUUCAUUCAAACCGAGUAAGGCCACACCCAAAUGUAAUUAAACUGUAAAAAUAAAAGACAAAGACAGGAGCCUGAAAGCAGCAAAAAAAGAAAAUAUAUCAUAUAAAAGGGAAUUUGAGCAAGGAUAACAGCAGAUUUUCCAGCAGACAAGGAACAAGCCAGGACAGAGUGGGACAACACAAAAUGAUGAAGGGAAAACAAUGCCAACCAAAAACGUGAUCCUGUGAAGCUGGCUUUCAGAAAUGCAGGAUUCCCAGACAAUAAAAGACAAGUGUAUUAAUCACCCCAUUACUGUUCUACAACAAAAGGAAUUCUCUCAGCCAAAAGAAGAAGAUUCUACUUAUUAAAACAAAUAUACAUGAAACUCACUGGCAAAAAAAAGAAAAGCCAUUAAUCUCCUCAUCUCACUGUUGUAUCUUAGUGAAAAAUGCCACAAAAUCAGAUACAUAUCAGAGAGGAAAUGAAAAUAUUGGGGUUUAUCUUCUCAGGCGCCCUUACAGUAUUCGCACAGAGAAGGCCCACGAUGUACACGAAACAUGUUAGCGCAGACAUGGGCAAGGAAAUACGUAUGAGAGAAGGGUCUCAACAACAAUAUCAUACUUACCACCUCCUGGCCUCAACCGUAAACAAAGGACAAGCGUACGGCAACAUUAUAGACAGACACCAUGUGGAGUACACCACUGCGCAAAAACAUGGCCUGAAUACACAAUGUCUUACGCCAUUGUAGUGAACAUCAUCAGCUCCUGUAUCGCAGGGCUCGGUCUGCUCCUACUAACAGUUGAGCUUAGUGUGGCUAUCUUUUUAACAGAAACAUCCAUGUGGCAAAUGAGAAGUGCUAAAAUGCUCUCAGAAUAUGUGUUCCUGUUCACCGCUUUGGAGCUGUUUGUGACCUGUGUAGCAAUCCAAUGGGCAUACAAAGCAAAAAAGUCAAACCUAAAUACAUAGUUCAUGGCAGAAGGAAAUCCUUUUCCUACACAUUAAAGAGCCAUCGUGACCUCAGUCAAGAAGGAAAGUUUAGUGGUGAAUAAAGAACUUCUUUUGUUCAAGAGGCUUCCUGGA